GACGAACGCUGGCGGCGUGCUUAACACAUGCAAGUCGAACGAAGUGGCGAACGGGUGAGUAACGCGUAAUCAACCUGCCCUUCAGAGGGGGACAACAGUUGGACACGACUGCUAAUACCGCAAACUGAAGGAGGGGCUUGCGUCUGAUUAGGUAGUUGGAGGGGUAAAGGCCCACCAAGGCGAUGAUCAGUAGGCGGUCUGAGGGGGUGGACGGCCACAAUGGGACUGGGACACGGGCCAGACUCCUACGGGAGGGAGCAGGGGGGAAUCUUCCGCAAUGGACGAAAGUCUGAAGGAGCAACGCCGGGUGGGUGAUGACGGCCUUCGGGUUGUAAAGCUCUGUUAAUCGGGACGCGGUACCGGAAUAGAAAGCCACGGCUAACUACGUGCCAGCAGCCGCGGUAAUAC
rnacentral:rRNA from 1 species